rnacentral:rRNA from 1 species
GUUAGGAAUAUUGGACAAUGGGCGCAAGCCUGAUCCAGCCAUGCCGCGUGAGUGAUGAAGGCCUUCGGGUUGUAAAGCUCUUUAGCCGAUGAUUAUAAUGACUGUAGUCGGAAAAUAAGCCCCGGCUAACUUCGUGCCAGCAGCCGCGGUAAUACGAAGGGGGCGAGCGUUAUUCGGAAUCACUGGGCGUAAAGCGUGCGUAGGCGGCUUUGCAAGUUGGGAGUGAAAGCCCAGGGCUCAACCCUGGAAUUGCUCUCAAAACUGCAAGGCUCGAAUUCGGGAGAGGAUAGCGGAAUUGUCAGUGUAGCAGUGAAAUGCGUAGAUAUUGACAGGAACACCAGUGGCGUAAGCGGCUAUCUGGACUGAUACUGACACUGAGGUGCGAAAGCGUGGGGAGCAAACAGGAUUAGAUACCCCUGUAGUCC